CCUACGGGGUGCUGCAGUGGGGAAUAUUGGACAAUGGGCGAAAGCCUGAUCCAGCCAUGCCGCGUGUGUGAAGAAGGCCUUCGGGUUGUAAAGCACUUUCAGUGGGGAAGAAAGCCUUGGGGCUAAUACCCUCGAGGAAGGACAUCACCCACAGAAGAAGCACCGGCUAACUCCGUGCCAGCAGCCGCGGUAAUACGGAGGGUGCGAGCGUUAAUCGGAAUUACUGGGCGUAAAGCGCGCGUAGGCGGUCUGAUAAGCCGGUUGUGAAAGCCCCGGGCUCAACCUGGGAACGGCAUCCGGAACGGUCAGGCUAGAGUGCAGGAGAGGAAGGUAGAAUUCCCGGUGUAGCGGUGAAAUGCGUAGAGAUCGGGAGGAAUACCAGUGGCGAAGGCGGCCUUCUGGACUGACACUGACGCUGAGGUGCGAAAGCGUGGGUAGCAAACAGGAUUAGAUACCCUAGUAGUC
rnacentral:rRNA from 1 species